UUAUUGGAGUUUUUAAACUCCACAAGCAUAGUUAAUAAGUUGACA
rfam:Gossypium raimondii Chr01_contig_1022, whole genome shotgun sequence.